rnacentral:rRNA from 1 species
UACGGAGGAUCCAAGCGUUGUCCGGAUUUAUUGGGUUUAAAGGGUGCGUAGGCGGAUAAUUAAGUCAGUGGUGAAAUCUUGCGGCUCAACCGUAAAAUUGCCAUUGAAACUGAUUAUCUUGAGUACAGUUGAGGUGGGCGGAAUGUAUCAUGUAGCGGUGAAAUGCUUAGAUAUGAUACAGAACACCUAUUGCGAAAGCAGCUCACUAAAACUGCAACUGACGCUGAGGCACGAAGGUCAGGGGAGCAAACGGG